UCGAGAAUCUUCGUCAAUGGGCGAAAGCCUGAACGAGCGACGCCGCGUGCGGGAUGAAGGCCUUUGGGUUGUAAACCGCUGUCGAGGGGGAUGAAGGCAUUCAGGUACUCCUGAAUGUUUGACAGAGCCCUGGAGGAAGCACGGGCUAAGUUCGUGCCAGCAGCCGCGGUAAUACGAACUGUGCGAACGUUAUUCGGAAUCACUGGGCUUACAGGGUGCGUAGGCGGCUAUUCAGGUCAGGUGUGAAAGCCCUCGGCUCAACCGAGGAACUGCGCUUGAAACCGGAUGGCUCGAGUCAACUAGAGGUGCACGGAACUUCCAGUGGAGCGGUGAAAUGUGUUGAUAUUGGAAGGAACACCGGAGGCGAAAGCGGUGCACUGGGGUUGGUCUGACGCUGAGGCACGAAAGCCAGGGGAGCGAACGGGAUUAGAUACCCCGGUAGUCCUGGCCGUAAACGAUGAGUGCUGGACGGGAGGGGGUUCGCCCGUUUCCGGUUGGAGCGAAAGC
rnacentral:rRNA from 1 species